AAAAAGCAGUGCAAUAUCUCUGAACAGUGCAUGGUUGAAAAUAGUAAAUAAACAGACUUCAGUGUUGUGCUGCCUUCCAUUAGCUUUAUCUAAAAUGGUCUUAAUUUUCUCUCCAGGCCUCAAACCCUAUUGAUGUUGCAGCACGAUCAGGAACGGUCCCGCACACUCUCCUUCAGAAGGACCCACGGAUAACAGAUCCUUUUAGGACCUCAGUAAGAAAGCCAGGCAAAUGGUGUGCAGUGCAUGUUCAAAUCGCCUGGCAGAUCUACCAUCAUCAGCAGAAGAUGAAA